rnacentral:snRNA from 1 species
GGAAGGCAAUCUAGUGGUGACAUCUGUCAUCUCAUUGAUCACCAGGGGUGAUGUGGCUGAUAUAGCUAGCUAGGCAGGUGUCUCUUUCUUCUGUAAUGUUCCAUGCCUGUCCCUCCCAGAAGCUGUGUGGUGACCUUCCCAGAACAGAGGAGGAGUGUUCUUUGCUCAAGGGUAUAAGAGUAAUUUCACUCCCCUACUAGAACUCCCAAACAAGCCCUCAAGAUCUUGGCAGAGGCUAUGAUCUUUUGAAGGUGUCACGGGACUGAAGGAGCCAUCUCAAGAUGAUUGCUUGACACUCAUGAAAUGUUAGUACCUUGGGGGCCCUCUGUCUUUAUUG